rnacentral:misc_RNA from 1 species
AAUACCCAGUGUUUCUACUUUGGGUUCUCAAGCUAUGGAUGGAACUGAGGGUAAAGAAGUAGUUGUCAAACCGAAUAUCAGAGAAACCUCCAAAACCCAUAAAGAAACAGAGCUCUCCUCUUCUUCAUCUUCUUCGAAAACCCAGUUGAGUAACAAUGCCAGUACCGAUGAGAGUACACUGAAUAAGAUAUAUAGAGAUUGCAG